rnacentral:lncRNA from 1 species
GGUCACCUCGUCAUUGCACGCAAUUGAUUGAAUGGACAACAUUACAGUCUCCGAUUUAGCAGCCUGGAUCUGCAUACCAUCAGCGGUGUCCAAACUAGCGGAGCAGCUUGAUUUACGGGAUACACUUUGGGAUGAGGUACAGAGACCCAGUUCUGAAGGAGAUGGUGGGCUGAUGGUUGACCACAGAGAACUAUACCUCCAGCUCAGAGAGAGUGAACAUAUAACAGAAAAGCUCUCUCAGACAGUCUCUGACCUGACCACCGUCAUGUACCUGAAAGAUGCUGAGCUUCAAUACUGCCACUCACAAGUCUCCCGCUAUCGGAAGGAAGCUGUCACUCAAGCCAGGGAGGCCAACCUUCUGCAGGCCAGCCUAUCAGAGUUUGAGUUUACAUUGGCGAGCCAAUCAAAGGAGUUGGCAGCCCUGCGGUUGGAGCAGUGGGAGCUGAAGGAGGGGCUUGCAGCGGCCUGGAGAGAGAAAGAAGAGCUUCUGGAGCGAUGGAUGGAUGAGAAGAAGGAGGAGGCGGAGAGGGUGAACAGGCACAAUGACACACAGGAAAGGUGGCAUCGUUUCACCCGGCGACUCAACAAGCAUCACCGUAGAGAGAUGCUGCGACCAAGUGAGCAGACCGACGACUGGUAGGCCUACAAUUGAACCAGCAACCACCAUACAGA